rnacentral:rRNA from 1 species
ACCUGAUCCAGCAAUGCCGCGUGAGUGAUGAAGGCCUUAGGGUUGUAAAGCUCUUUUACCCGGGAUGAUAAUGACAGUACCGGAGAAUAAGCUCCGGCUAACUCCGUGCCAGCAGCCGCGGUAAUACGGAGGGAGCUAGCGUUAUUCGGAAUUACUGGGCGUAAAGCGCACGUAGGCGGCUUUGUAAGUUAGAGGUGAAAGCCUGGAGCUCAACUCCAGAAUUGCCUUUAAGACUGCAUCGCUUGAAUCCAGGAGAGGUGAGUGGAAUUCCGAGUGUAGAGGUGAAAUUCGUAGAUAUUCGGAAGAACACCAGUGGCGAAGGCGGCUCACUGGACUGGUAUUGACGCUGAGGUGCGAAAGCGUGGGGAGCAAACAGGAUUAGAUACCUUGGUAGUCCACGCCGUAAACGAUGAUAACUAGCUGUCGGGGCUCUUAGAGCUUCGGUGGCGCAGCUAACGCAUUAAGUUAUCCGCCUGGGGAGUACGGCCGCAAGGUUA